rnacentral:pre_miRNA from 1 species
AGGGUAAUGUCAAAGUGCUUACAGUGCAGGUAGUGAUAUAAGAACCUACUGCAGUGAAGGCACUUGUAGCAUUAUAUU